AGAGUUUGAUCCUGGCUCAGGACGAACGCUGGCGGCGCGCCUAACACAUGCAAGUCGAACGAGCGAGAGAGAGCUUGCUUUCUCGAGCGAGUGGCGAACGGGUGAGUAACGCGUGAGGAACCUGCCUCAAAGAGGGGGACAACAGUUGGAAACGACUGCUAAUACCGCAUAAGCCCACGGGUCGGCAUCGACCAGAGGGAAAAGGAGCAAUCCGCUUUGAGAUGGCCUCGCGUCCGAUUAGCUAGUUGGUGAGGUAACGGCCCACCAAGGCAACGAUCGGUAGCCGGACUGAGAGGUUGAACGGCCACAUUGGGACUGAGACACGGCCCAGACUCCUACGGGAGGCAGCAGUGGGGAAUAUUGCACAAUGGGGGAAACCCUGAUGCAGCGACGCCGCGUGGAGGAAGAAGGUCUUCGGAUUGUAAACUCCUGUUGUUGGGGAAGAUAAUGACGGUACCCAACAAGGAAGUGACGGCUAACUACGUGCCAGCAGCCGCGGUAAAACGUAGGUCACAAGCGUUGUCCGGAAUUACUGGGUGUAAAGGGAGCGCAGGCGGGAAGACAAGUUGGAAGUGAAAUCUAUGGGCUCAACCCAUAAACUGCUUUCAAAACUGUUUUUCUUGAGUAGUGCAGAGGUAGGCGGAAUUCCCGGUGUAGCGGUGGAAUGCGUAGAUAUCGGGAGGAACACCAGUGGCGAAGGCGGCCUACUGGGCACCAACUGACGCUGAGGCUCGAAAGUGUGGGUAGCAAACAGGAUUAGAUACCCUGGUAGUCCACACCGUAAACGAUGAUUACUAGGUGUUGGAGGAUUGACCCCUUCAGUGCCGCAGUUAACACAAUAAGUAAUCCACCUGGGGAGUACGACCGCAAGGUUGAAACUCAAAGGAAUUGACGGGGGCCCGCACAAGCAGUGGAGUAUGUGGUUUAAUUCGA
rnacentral:rRNA from 1 species